rnacentral:rRNA from 1 species
GACGAACGCUGGCGGCGUGCUUAACACAUGCAAGUCGAACGAUGAAGCCCAGCUUGCUGUUGGGAUUAGUGGCGAACGGGUGAGUAACACGUGAGUAACCUGCCCUGGACUCUGGGAUAACCCCGAGAAAUCGGAGCUAAUACCGGAUAGGACCUCGAAUCGCAUGGUUUGGGGUGGAAAGUUUUUCGGUCUGGGAUGGACUCGCGGCCUAUCAGCUUGUUGGUGAGGUAAUGGCUCACCAAGGCGUCGACGGGUAGCCGGCCUGAGAGGGUGACCGGCCACACUGGGACUGAGACACGGCCCAGACUCCUACGGGAGGCAGCAGUGGGGAAUAUUGCACAAUGGGCGCAAGCCUGAUGCAGCAACGCCGCGUGAGGGAUGACGGCCUUCGGGUUGUAAACCUCUUUUAGUAGGGAAGAAGGGCUUCGGCUUGACGGUACCUGCAGAAAAAGGACCGGCUAACUACGUGC